CUUUGAUUUAUAUCUUCUAUAUUUUCUUUUUUGGACUAGCUAGUACCAUCAAACCCUUGCCUGCCUUGGCUCUGAAUGCAGCAGUCUCUUUCCAGGGUAAUUCCAGGAUGGCUUGUCCUACAUCAUCUCAGAGAGGCUGCAGCUCUCCUUCUGUCUUGCCUGGUUACAAGUGAGUCUAACAGCUUUCCAAAAUCCCAGAUCUGUUGGAGAUUUUACCCAUUCCUUCCUUGGAAGUUGAGGAUCCCAAGCAUUUUCCCAAACUGAUUGAUGCUAUCCCUCAUAAAUCCAGGACUCCAAGAAGAACUGCUAGCCAUGUAUGGGACCCCUGGGCAAAUGAUACAGCACAAGUCCAUUGGGCAAACACACCGAGUAGAUACAGGAAAAUGAGCAGGUACACUACCCUGGGAAUAAGUAACAUGGAAUGUGACACCUCUGGGGACCAAAUGGUAGUACAAAAUAUGCAUGCAGAACUGUGGGCAACCCAAAGGGAUAAGCAUCUGUGCUUACAACAUAUAAUUACUAAUUUACAAUUACUAAUGCCACAUUCAGAAAUUAUGUUUUAAAAUCGGUAUUUUUUGUUUAACAU
rnacentral:lncRNA from 1 species